UGAAAUCUCGCUCCUGAUAAAUAUCACCCACCUCCCCUCUGGAGGCUACGUGGUCCUGAUUGUAUUGAUUAGGGUCAGUGUAACCAUCUGCUCAGAUCAGUAGCUACAAAUGGAUCUCAGGUGCUGUCCCCAUCUUUCUUCAAUUAAGGCAGGAGGAAACCAGUUCCCAUGGCAGUGCUUUUAAGGAGCAGUAAGGGAACCUGUGGCCUCUUGAGAGCUUUGAUCCAAGGAGCAUUAGCAGGAAUGGAGAGGGUUAUGGUAGAAGAUCUGUCAUUUUCAACAAUGGGAACUUUCACAAGGAGUACACACACAAGGGAGCAAGAAGGAAGGAGAAUGCUCUCAGUAUGCCUAUUUCCAGGGGGAAAGAAAAAAACAAACGAAGUAAGUGUACCUUUAAAAAACAACAACAACAAAGUUUUCUUCAUGAUCACACUAAAAAUUCCUGUUGAUUUCGAUGGAGUUACCCAAGUGUAAUUUCAGGGCAGGUUUGAGAUGAUGGUUGGGGGCUGAUGCUGCCUGGUUCCCUGCAGCUCCCUGAUCUGGGAAGGAGACUGUAGGAAAACCCUAUGUACUGGAAACAUUUCCUACAACAGAUCACUCGUCCAAUCAAAAAGUCUAUUAUCCAGCUUCUAUGAUAAAAUAUGCAGAGCUCUGACUUAACAGAAGGAGCUCUCUGCACUGGAAAUCUGGGGCAUCGUUCUGUUCCAUGCAAAAUUACAUUCAGUAAAAGGAGACAAGAAGUGACAUUUCAAGGAAGGGGAUUUGUGUUUGAGUCCUGGAGGUCAGCGUGCUGCUGUGAAAUACAAAGCUGGGAACUCAUGGAACCCACAGCCUGACCAACUCUGCUGUGACCGCAGCAAACUGAUCUCUGUGCUGCGUAUCACCCCGAGGAUUAAACAUUGUCCACCAAUACUAUAGCUGGAUGUCACCACAACUUGGUUACCCUUCUGGCUGAUUUAAGACCAAAAUGCCUCCGAACAACUGCCACACACAGAGCUGGGUGACUCGAGCCUCCUGGAGUGCAAGGGAUUACAACAGCCCAAGGGAUUAAAGCUAAACCAGCAGUGCUUAGGGAACUGGCUCCACAGAGAGAUUUAUGAUGGUUUGGUAACUGCAGUCUGCCAGUAGAAAUACAAAUUUUAAUAGCACAGGGAGUAAAACUAAUGUUGUACUUCUGCUAGCUGCUGCCUGCACGUUUGCUGAUGUUCUUAGUUUCUAAGUUCAGGGCCAGAAAACCUUACUCAUCACAGCCCUUAAUGCUGCUGUCCUACCACCUGGCUUGAUGAAUAAUUACUGGGAUUAAUCAUCGGAGGGGCCCUGCUCCUUCUUUAAACGUUGGUCUGAAAAAUUGCUCUCCUUGUGGAGGUUUUUAAGGGAUUUCUCAGUCUUUCUCUACCACCAUCCACAGUGCCUGAAAUUCAGUAGCAGCAGCAAACAAAAGGGACAAAAAGAGAGAUGGGAGCAUAAUUACCGCGUAUCAAAAUAGAGUGCUUUGGUAACUGUACCUCACAGGUGAUGUAGCAACACUUUGAUUCUGCCAGGCACUGGGGCUGACAGUCCCCUCCAUCACAGCCACCUCCUCUCCCCAGCUUAAUUGCCUUGCAAUUAGUUGUUGGGUGAAAAAAGUAAUCACUGGUGGUUAAUUGCUUCUCCCUGAAAUAUCUGUCUCUGGAACUGACACGGAGAAUGGUCUUAGUGCUUCUGUCCAUAGCAUCAUUUAGCAGAGAAAAUACAGUGAAUUUUUUUGAAAUAUCAGGGGAAGCUGCCAGCUCUCCUCCUGGGCUUGGAUGGCCAUUGGAUCGAUUUUCAUUACAAUGGGACACAAAUCAUUUGAUUUGCUCAGGCAACGAUGAGAAACCAUUCCUGGCCUGCAAGAGAUGCUGUAUCACAUAGAGAGCUGUGGAGAAGCAGAAACAGAGCUCAUUUGGUUGGAAGCAAGGGAAAGGAGGAGUGAUGCUGGGCACUGGCUGUCAGAGAGGCUCCUGGCUUUUUAGAAGGUGGA